rnacentral:rRNA from 1 species
GAUGAACGCUGGCGGCGUGCCUAAUACAUGCAAGUCGAGCGAACAGACGAGGAGCUUGCUUCUCUGAUGUUAGCGGCGGACGGGUGAGUAUCACGUGGAUAACCUACCUAUAAGACUGGGAUAACUUCGGGAAACCGGAGCUAAUACCGGAUAAUAUAUUGAACCGCAUGGUUCAAUAGUGAAAGACGGUUUUGCUGUCACUUAUAGAUGGAUCCGCGCCGCAUUAGCUAGUUGGUAAGGUAACGGCUUACCAAGGCAACGAUGCGUAGCCGACCUGAGAGGGUGAUCGGCCACACUGGAACUGAGACACGGUCCAGACUCCUACGGGAGGCAGCAGUAGGGAAUCUUCCGCAAUGGGCGAAAGCUUGACGGAGCAACGCCGCGUGAGUGAUGAAGGUCUUCGGAUCGUAAAACUCUGUUAUUAGGGAAGAACAAAUGUGUAAGUAACUAUGCACGUCUUGACGGUACCUAAUCAGAAAGCCACGGCUAACUACGUG